CGACUGCGGCGACCAAUCAGAUGAGAGUAACUGCAACGUUAACGAGUGUUUGAACCGGCGGACGACCUGUCUGUGGGUUACAAGUGUGUGUGCUGGCCUGGUUUCCGUCUGAAGACAGACGUACGGACGUGUAUAGACAUUAAUGAGUGUGUGGAGAGAUUCCCGUGCAGCCAGCAGUGCAUAAACACGUACAAGUGUGUGUGCGCAGAUGGAUACAAACCUCUGGAGACGGACGCACACAGCUGCAGAGCUGUCUUAGUGAUGGUGUCAGGAAUACGGCUGAUGCACAGAACACACUCGUCUGAACCACAUUUACAGGAAAACCCAGAGCUGUCCUCAACUACAGCGCCGAGAAACCAUUACUCAUCAACUACAAACCAACGCCCUAUAACCCCCCGCUCCUCCGACACCCUUUAACCCCCCUCCUCUGACGCCCUAUAACCACCUCUCCUACAGCGCCCCUUAACCCCCUCUCCUCCGACGCCCUACAACCCCCACUCCUCCAAUGCCCUACAACCACCUCUCCUCCGACGCCCUACAAACACCACUCCUCCGACACCCUUUAACCCCUUCUCCUCCGACGCCCUACAACCCCCUCUCCUCCGACACCCUUUCACCCUCUCUCCUCCGGCGCCCUUUACCCCCCUCUCCUCCGACACCCUAUAACCCCCUCUCAUCUGAUGCCCUUUAACCCCCUCUAGUCCGAUGCCCUAUAACCCCUUUUUCUCCGACGCCCUAUAAACCCUUCUCCUCCGACGCCCUUGAACCCCCUCUCUCCUCUGACGCCCUAUAACCCCUCCUCUCGUUCGACACCCUUUAACCCCCUCUCCUCUGAUGCCCUUUAAUCCCUUCUGUCCUCUGAGGCCCUAUAACCCCUUCUACUCCGACGCCCUUUAACCCCCUCUCCUCCGACGCCAUAUAAUCCCUUCUCCUGCAACACCCUUUAACCCCCUCUCCUCUGACGCCCUUGAACCCCCUCUCCUCUGACGUCCUUUAACCCCCUCUCCUCAGCAGCUGUAUCAGAAACCCUCUGCCCAGCAGUUGUAUUAGAAAGCCGCUCAUCAGCAGCUGUAUCAGAAUCCCUCUCAUCAGCAGCUGUGUCACAAACCCUCUCCUCAGCAGCUGUAUCAUAACCCCUCUCCUCAGCAGCUGUAUCAGAAACCCUCUCCUCAGCAGUUGUAUUAGAAACGCUCUCCUCAGCAGCGUUUAUCAAUUUUUGUGUUCUUUAAUGCCAGGGUAAUGUAACAAGUAGUCGUAUAAAUGUACAGAAAU